rnacentral:rRNA from 1 species
UACGAACCGUACAAGCGUUAUUCGGAAUCACUGGGCUUAAAGGGUGCGUAGGCGGCCAUGUACGUGAGGUGUGAAAUCCCUCGGCUCAACCGAGGAACUGCGCUUCAUACUGCAUGGCUUGAGGGAGACAGGGGUAAGCGGAACUGAUGGUGGAGCGGUGAAAUGCGUUGAUAUCAUCAGGAACACCGGUGGCGAAAGCGGCUUACUGGGUCUCUUCUGAGGCUGAGGUACGAAAGCUAGGGGAGCGAACGGG